ensembl:lncRNA
UUUCUUUUUAACAUAAUAUUUGCUAUAGGUGUAUUGUAUAUACCUCUUAUCAAAUUAAGAAAGUUUCCUUCUAUUUGCCCAAAGUUUUAUUACAAAUAAGAUUAAAUCUUAUGAAAUGCCUUUUCUGCAUCAGGAUAAUUAUGAUUUUCCUCCUUCAGUCUAUUGCUGUGGUGAAUUAUAGUGAUGAGUUUUUCUCAUGAGCCACCCUUGCAUCCCUGGGAUGAACGUCACUUGAUUAUGAUUAUCAUUUUUCAUACACUGUUGGAUUUUAUAGUUUGUAUUUGGGCUUUUUGCAUCUACUUGAUUCUAUUUCUGUUAUCUUAGUAUUUACUCUAGACUUUAGGGAUACUUAAGGAAGACUGAAGCUAUUCAAUGUCUUUAGCCUCCUUAAGAAUAUUCCAAGGACCAGUUUUUGUGCUAUCAUUCUCCAGUAUUUCAGAUCAUGACUACACUACUUAAUUUUAAAAAUUAAGCAUUAUCAUAGUUCUAUAAUCUGCAUGUUAGUAAUCUUAAAAAGAUACCUCUGCCCAUUUUUCUUCCUUACAUUGCAGCCCUUCCGUUAAGGAUCAUUUCCUUAAUAGGAGCACACAUAGCAUUUACUAUGUGCCUGUUGGGUUCUAAGCACUUUUUCCUCACUUUAAUCUCCCAGUAACCCUAUAAGGUUUGUACUAUAGUCCUUCUCUCUGAAGAACAUCCUUUAGAAUUUCUUUCUCUGGGAGUUCCCAUCAUGGCUCAGUGGGAACAAACCCAACUCUUAUCCAUGAGGACUUGGGUUUGAUCCCUGGCCUCACUCAGUGGAUUAAGGAUCUGGUGUUGCCAUGAGCUGUGGUGUAGGUUGCAGAUGGGGCUCGGAUGUGGCAUUGCCAUGGCUGUGGCAUAGGCCAGCAGCUACAACUCCAAUUGGACCCCUAGCCUGGGAACCUCCAUAUGCCGUGAGUGUGGCCCUAAAAGACCAAAAACAAAAGAAAAAAAUUCUUUCUCUGGAUCUCAGUUUCUGUUGUUUGUCCCUCUUGUAUUCUUUUUUUAUUUACUUAAGAACUGUGCUGGCCAGAAGUACAGAAGUUCUCAAACUCAUGAGAGUGAAUGUAUGGGAUGUCUCGGCGAGAGGGCAGAUGUGGAAAAGAGGUAAAAGACGGAACCCUGGGGAGCACCAGAGCCUCUGUAUCGACCUCAUGAGCCUUCCACUAAGAGAUGGUGUCCACUGGAACUGCAAGGCCAAGGGCCCGAGCCGAAGCAGUGGCGAUCAGUCCGGAGUGGGAUGGGGCAACGCCAGUCUUUCCCCCAGCAGGAACUGAAGGCUUUGAGGGCAUAUAAGCAAGGACCCUGGGAGACAGAGCUGGGAUGCUGCCUGGAACAGUCAGAUUCCACAGCCUGGUGACAUCACUGCGGCAACAGAGUUCGCAAACAGGAGUCAGAGGCCCAGGUCAGAACUCUAAGGCCUUCUUCUGAGAUGGCCUAGUCUCUUCUGCCUCUCAGCCAAGGCAUCCUUCGCUGCCUUGUUUUAAUCACCUGCAAUCUGUUUUCUCUCUCUGAGAAUUAAGAACCAUCUUCAGAAAGCACCACAUGAAGCCAUUUUCAAACUGACUUUAAUCUUUAUUUAUAUUUUUGCUGCCCACAUACUGUACAUGCAGAAGCCAUGUGAAGAAUUCUCUCCUCAAGGGGAUUGGCAAGAGUGUUGUAAGAAACAGCUGGCAGUCCUUCCCAGCCGUCCACCUGCCACCUGGGAGCCGAGAGUUUGGAAAGACGCUGCACACAGAAAAUGUAUAGCGCACGGAGAUAAAAGGCUAACUGCUUCUUAUCCAAACAAUGUGCUUAUCUCCCUCUCAGUGCACGCGUGUGUGCGCCUCUCUCUCUCUCUGCAGGAUGCAUUUGGAAAUUCUAAAAAAGGGGUUCCUGCCUCCUGUGAAUUUACAUUCUCAAGGAGCGGAUGGUACAUCAGGCCAACUUUUGCUAAGGAAGCAGCCGCUCUGCCCUCUGAGAUGAUGUCUGGUAAGAGACAUGCUGGAGAGAAGAGUAAUAUUUAAGAAGUGAAAUACUUUGCAGGGAAAUAAGUUUCCUCUCUCCUCCCAUCGGAAGGCAUCUCCUUAAAAAUCCUCCUGCUGAUCACAUUCUAGAAGCAGGAACGAGGACCGACCCAUCCUCCUCUGCCAGUGGGGAUACUGGCUGGCGCAGGAUGCAGCUGAGGUUGUGACAUCACAUCAGCACCUUGGAACUUGUCCACUGUAGACAACCCUUAAUGAUCUCAUCACCACACAAGAACAGAACAACAAACCACAGAGGCGGCAGCAGAGGCCGUGAGGAUUCCCAGAGUUCUUGUCAGAAGCAGCAUCUAGGCGGGGACAGACCAGACCUGCACCCGCGUGGGCACCGGGGGCUGGAAGGAACCAGCCUCUGGAGCCAGGUGCCAGGCACGCCAGGCUCACAACCCUCAUCAGCUCCAGACCAGACUUUUAACACCUGGAGGGAAGCAUGGAGUAACUACCAAAUGCUCUGGUUUUGCAGAGGAGGAAGCUGAGGCCCAGCAAAAUGAGGAAACGCGUUAAGGUCACAGUUUCUGGCAAAACUGUAUAUAACAGCCUUUGAUUCUCUGUAGCCCACCGUUCAGGCCACUGGCCCUUGGGUUGGAUGCUCUGUUGCCUCUGGAAUUCCCAGGGCCCCUUUCUGCUCGCCAGGGCCUCUGGAACCCCAUCCCAAGGACCAUUCCUGUCCCUGGGAGGCCCAAGGCUCUUGUUCUUCCUGGCCCUGGGGAGGUUCCCCCCAAGCAGCAGCACGCAUGCUUUCUGACGAGCAUCCUUCCCAAGCCAAUCCGGUGGCCCUGCGAGAAUGCAAGUGUCCCUGACAGGCACAGCCUCGCUGGGCUCACGAAAGCCCGAGCUCAGGGUUGGGGGGAGGGGGAGUUGCUUUGCUACAUGGAAAGAUUAAGCCCUUUGUCAGAGAACAAGGCCCCACCGUCAGGCAUGCCAACCCCAGAGCUGCGCUGGUGCGGCUCAGCCGGCAGAGCUGGUGCCCGAGGAGGCCAAGUUGCUCUCUUUGGCAUCACUGACAUCGCUCCGAGAUGCUCAGGCACUCUCUCAAAAUAACCCUUUCCCAAUCAGCCAGGCCGAGCUGCAGAAGGGCUGGGGGGCGCCCCUGCUCCCAGUCAGCCAGGCCGAGCCACAGAAGGGCUGGGGGGCGCCCAUGCCUUCCGUCGUGAUUGCUGUAUUUUGCCCCGACUCUCCUCGGACCUGAGUGAGCAGCCGACUUGCGGGAGAAGGCAGGGGGCACGUCCGCUGCCCGUCCCCCCCCCCCGCCCCCCCCCCCACCCACACGCGAAGGGGCCCGUCCCGUGCCUGUCUCCCCCCCCCCGCCCCCGCCCAGAUCAAUCAGUGAACGGUGACCCAGUCCAGAAAGCGUUUUAAAGAAUCUCUUUUGGUGUCGGGAUACGAGAGAAGACAACACCGGGGAGAGGCAGAGGAAGGGGCGGGAGUCGGCAGGGCAGCAGGCCUCUUCUUGUCUCUCUCCUGUGGCCACUGCAGCGCUCCCGCUUGACCGCCUCCUGGCCCCAAAGGGCACCGUGGAGCAAAGGCAGCAAUUUCUUGCACGGGGCUUGCACAGUGCAGGAAGCAAUCAGAAGCGGAAGAGCAGCCUUCUGGAAGCCCUGCUGCUCUCUGGGCGGAGGAAGAUGGGGAAGCAGAGGUAUCAGGCGCUUUGGAGCCCCAGGGUGGGGGCAGCACAGCGUCUCCUGGGCAGCAGGGUGGGCAGCCAGAACCCUGGUUGCAGGCCAGGGCUCCAGUCACACAGUCUAAGAUUGUGCUACAUUUCACUUCCAAAGGAGGACCUUUGGAGGGCUCUAAUUGUCUUUACAAGGGGCAGGGGACUUCUGCUCUCCUUGAGGCUGGCAGUAAAGAGCUCAGGCAUGCUUGCCCUGGUGGGGGUCAACCAGGAGUGGUGAGUUAGGGGGCCCUUUCCCUCGGCUCCAGCGAGCUCCCCCCACCCCCGCCACCGAGUGCCGGGGGGGGGGCGCAGGGGGACUGGAUGCCGAGGAGGUUGGGAGAUGGUGCUUCCCCGAAGGAUCACAUCCCCUUCAUCAAACCAAGACUGGGCCCCAUUUGCUGGAGCCUCCUUCACAGCGACGGCCCCUCACAGACGUCCCUUGAGGGCCGGUGUCUAGGAAGGAAGUGGGACAGUCUGAACAGAGCAGAGCCGUGAAGACAGAUGCUCUGAAUCAUCUGUCACGGCUUCUGCCCACAGCCCAGCAUUGCUGCAGGGCUGCUGCCAUCUCUGCCACGCCUUCCACGAAUCCUGCCUGAGCAGAGCAAGGCAGUGACCGAGCCCCUCUGUCGUCAGCCCCAGGCUCCCCUGGGGUCCGGGGCAGGCAGAGCCGCAACACAGCACAGCACAGUGUGGGCCGCAGGGUGGGGAUCCUGUUUCUUCCCUUCCCACCCUGCCCUCUUCUAAGGACAGAUGCCCCCAACUCCAGGGCGUGGGGGUCAUACAUGUGCUCCCUCCCCCUGGGCCAAGCAAGCUCCAGCCCAGCUGCUCAGCCAAGCUGGUGCCUCCAGGAAGCCGAGGCACAGCCUUUCGCCACCACAUACACGUUGCCCCAUCUGACUUCACCCUCGUGGAGGAAAAUCCGGGUGGGGGUUAGUAACUUAUUUGGUACAAAGGGUUAAAAAUGACCCGAGGUCAACUUCUGGGGGGAACUUCCCAUUAGCCAGCUGGAAGGGUGGAGGAGCCCCCUCGGGCAGUUUUGGCAGCUGGCGGUUGCAGGCGGGUCAGCCCAGGGUACCAGCAGGUCAGGCCCCACCUCUGGCUAGAAGGUCCUCGACCGCUCUGCAGGGAGGUCCCCGCCUGCUGUCUCCCUGGGCCCCUCAUUCGCAUCCCCCAUGCCCCGGACUGACCACCUGCUCUGGGUAUCAGCGCUUGGGGCCACAUCAGCAUACGCCUACGCUGUCCUCUGGGUCACCAGUAACCCCCCGCAGGAGGUGUCGAGGAGUCUCACUCCGUCCUGAGGCCAACUUUUCAACAUCACCACCAGGACAUAAAAUGACUCUCUGGCAAGGGAGUUGCCUCCCUCUCCCCGGCCUGGGCACUAAGGGCAGAGCCCAGGGCGCUAAUUUUAGAAACACGAGACACGCCACAUUAGCCAGUGCCGACACCAGGAGGGAAUUUCUGCAGAAAGAGAAAACUCCACGCACAGGGUUCCCCGCCUGUGAUAAGACAAGAACGAGCUCAUUUUGUGAGGACUGCCUGCCCUGGCCCACCUCUGGUCUGCAGGCAGGACUGCUGGGUCCCGGCUUCUCCCCCUGGGUUUCUUGGGAGAGAGGUGGCCAGACCGUGGCUUCAGUCUAACGUGUUCCCUGCCGGAGACCCCUUGGUGGAAAUACCUGUCCCUCCAACCCCUCCCUCCCCAGAACCCCCCUCCAUGCCCGUCUGGCUUUGGUUACAAAUGGAGCCCAAGCAUCUCUCCUUGGCUCCCCCCCUCCACCCCCUGGAUGUGGGUUAGAAUCCAUGCAGCUCUUGGGGGUGCUGUCUGGGGACAAGGCAGAGGAGGGGAGCCUGCCCCAGACCUUGACCUCUCCUGCCACCUCUUUCCCCCCUGACAUGGACCCGGGGGCUGCUGUGUCCAUCUCCUGGGCAACCCCUUGCCUUUCACCCCAGACCUGACGAGGAAGGGGGCAGAUCUGGGCGACCCUGAGCCGGACCUCAGG